GGGAGCCUGAGAAACGGCUACCACAUCUAAGGAAGGCAGCAGGCGCGCAAAUUACCCAAUGAAAACAGUUUUGAGGUAGUGACGAGAAAUAACAAUACAGAGCAUUUAAAUGUUUUGUAAUUGGAAUGGUGGGAAUCUAAACCCCUUUCAGAGUAACAAUUGGAGGGAAAGUCUGGUGCCAGCAGCCGCGGUAAUUCCAGCUCCAAUAGCGUAUAUUUGAGUUGUUGCAGUUAAAAAGCUCGUAGUUGGAUUUCUGUCUUGGUUUUUACGUGUACUACCCCUGUAUUAAUUUAUAGGUGUUUUAUAACAGCGUUUAAACUUGGACAUAUUAUCCUAAUGUGUGUGUGUGUAUAUAUCUAUAUAUAUAUAUAUUGGGACUUUUACUUUGAGAAAAAUAGAGUGUUUCAAGCAGGUUUUUUUUUGCUUGAAUACUGCAGCAUGGAAUAAUAAUAUAGGACUUUGGUU
rnacentral:rRNA from 1 species